UAUGCAGACUUCCCUUUAGUUAUCACUUUUGAUAGAAAUUAUGUUGAGGCAUAAAGAAAGACAUUGUGCCACCGGGGUGUAACAGGCUAACAGUGAACAGCUAAAACUUUUGAUUGUGAAAUGCUGGCAUGGUACAACGCUUUGACUAGGGUGUCACUGGAGCCAACAUUUCGACAAGACUUGUCUCAAAGUUGCAGCCACGAAGACGACAAGUACGCUUGUCAAAACAGCUCCAGCAUCACCCGUGUACAAUAAUUUUUCAUAUCAGCAAAAUCGGUGUUCUUUUUAUUGUGAAAUGCUAGCAUGGC
rnacentral:lncRNA from 1 species